UAUUUUGUAUUUUAGGACUUUAUUUAUUAUUUAAACCCUAAAGUUUCUUGUGUGUAAAGAGGCAAAGAGAUCCAAUGGGACAAGUGGCCAACUCUUUGUUUCUACACUCAUAACCUUAUUUGCUCUGUUGCUCCUAUUCUUCUUCACCUACUUCAUUCACUGGAAAUAUUAGCUUGGAUUUCAAGUAGCAAAGUGCAGUUUCACUUCAAGAUAUUGAUCUCAAGUUAUUAUAAACUCUAAGAGACUUAAUAUCUGUUGAUUUCAGAAGGAAUACUCAUCUGGGCUUGUGCAGUGGAGAUAGAACCAUGAUGGGCCUUGGGCCCAAACUCACACUACAAGUUUAAUGAAGUUUUUUUCUCAAAAAAAAAUGUUUCAAUUAAAUGUUGUUCAUCAAUAUGGAGCAACUUCAUACAAAGAAUAUUAUAUGUUGAUGCUCUAUUCAUCUUGGUGUUGCUUCUUCAAGGUUGUGAUGGAUAAGUGUGGAAGCAUAUAUGAAAUUUUCAUUGAUGGGUUUUAAAUGAGCUUAUGAAUGAAAAAAGUUAUAAUUAUGAAACCAAAAGAGCCUCUUGUACAGGACAAGGAUAUGAACCUAAGAAAUAUGUUUUUUUGGUGAGUUCCUAUGUUCUUGUGCUGUUGCUGAAGAGAGUUCCCCUUGACAACUUCAAUAUUUGCUGAUCAGUACUCAACUUGAUCAUGACGGCUUUAGUUUAUUUUUGUACUUCAUUAUUGUUGUAAUAGCACUUUUAUGAGUUUAUCUUCAUGAACGAUGUUUGGGACAAGAAGAAUGUAAUAAAUUUUAUAUUGAUGUUUAAUUAAUGUAGUGGGAUAUUAUAUACUA